AUGUGUUUGUGCGACAAUCAUAUUCCUUCUGCCUGAACAGCUUUCACUGUAAACUCACUGUAAGUUCCCUCUGUUUUUGAAAUUUUGAUUUCUAAAGCACGGUUCUUUACUUCUUUUCCUUUCUUUUCUUUCCUUUCCUUUUCAGCUGGAUACAGAAUUCUUCUUCAAGAACUUUUUCCUUCAGCAGUUUUUAAAAUGUCACUGCACUGUCUCCUACCUUACACAAUUUCCAAUGAUAAAUGUGUCGUACUCCUCUUUCUGAAUGAACAAGAAAUGUGUCUUUUCAAUGGCUGCCUCUUCUACUUGUGUGUUUAUUCUUUUAAUGACAGGGUUUGGCAAGCUGUCAUACAAGGACUACUUUGGAGCUUCAAUGGAAACUUGAAUCAUUGUGAUGUAUAAUACAUGGCCUUUAAAACAAAGUAUUUACGACCUCUUGAAGGAAAUGCUGCCUGCCCUGGCACUGUACACAGUCACCUUACCUUAUGACGAUACUUCAAAAAAGUCACGGGGAAUUGAAUUCAAAGACUUUCCUGUGGAUGCAGAAAGGAUUUGAAAUCCAACCAUAGUUCUUUCACAACAUGCUGUUUCCAGGAACAUCUUGAGGACUCCUCACAUUUCAGGUAAGUAAAUGUAUGAUUGUCUUAGUUGAAACAAUAUGGUGUUUAUUCCUGUGAGAAAUAGAAGCAUCACCAAAAAUAGGCAAAGAAAUCAAAUGUUUAUAGCACAACAGAAAGUAGAAACUCAAAGUAUGGAAUAUUACUUUAAAUGAAUAAUUAUAUUAUAAUCAAGUCACUGAUUGGAAGUUUCUAAUAAGAGGGAAAAUGUUGUACAUUCAAAAUUCAGUUUUCUUUAAUGAAUAAGUAAAUGACCUAGUAGAGU